rnacentral:rRNA from 1 species
GAUGAACGCUGGCGGCGUGCUUAACACAUGCAAGUCGAACGGUGAACACGGAGCUUGCUCUGUGGGAUCAGUGGCGAACGGGUGAGUAACACGUGAGCAACCUGCCCCUGACUCUGGGAUAAGCGCUGGAAACGGCGUCUAAUACUGGAUAUGUGACGUGAUCGCAUGGUCUGCGUCUGGAAAGAAUUUCGGUUGGGGAUGGGCUCGCGGCCUAUCAGCUUGUUGGUGAGGUAAUGGCUCACCAAGGCGUCGACGGGUAGCCGGCCUGAGAGGGUGACCGGCCACACUGGGACUGAGACACGGCCCAGACUCCUACGGGAGGCAGCAGUGGGGAAUAUUGCACAAUGGGCGCAGGCCUGAUGCAGCAACGCCGCGUGAGGGAUGACGGCCUUCGGGUUGUAAACCUCUUUUAGCAGGGAAGAAGCGAAAGUGACGGUACCUGCAGAAAAAGCGCCGGCUAACUACGUG